GAGUUUCGCUCUUAUUACCCAGGCUGGAGUGCAAUGGCGCAAUCUCGGCUCACCACAACCUCUGCCUCCUGGAUUCAGGGAAUUCUCCUGCCUCAGCCUCCCCAGUAGCUGGGAUUACAGGCGCGCACCACCAUGCCCAGAUAUGACUUCUGGGCAGUGUGCAGCCCAGAAGAGGGUCCUCACCAGAACCCAACCAUGCUGACAUCUUGAUCUUGGACUUCUGGCUUCUGGAACUGUGAGAAAUAACUGUGCGUUAUGAUAAACUACACACAAAAGAAAAAAGAUGUGAAGCACAGCUCUGGACCUCACAUCCUGAGCUCAAAUCCUGGCUGCUGCUUCCUAGCUGGGAGUCCUAGGCCAAAUGAGUCUGGCCCGUGUCUCAGCUUCCUCACCAGCAAAACGGGGGAGUGCUGAGCCGGCAGUUCAAGGCAUCCCGCUCCUGGCCACCCGGCCCCGCCUCGUCCCCUCCUGAGUGCACACGCACCUGUUUGAGGAUGUUCUGCUCCCUCAUCAGCUUCUGCCGUUCCCUGUUGGGCUUGGUGACCAUGAUGUCCAGGACAUUCUGCCCAUUGUUGGGGACAUCGCUGACAAAGAACACCAGGUCUUCAAGCAGCUGGAUGACAAACCUGGGAUCCCAGGAUUGGCGGAAUCUCAAAGGCCAGAGUCUGGCAUCCCCACCCAGUGUUUGGGUUCCCCGUGCUGCUGUGUCCUGGAUAAACUGUCAUGCAGCCUGCGCUUGAGCACCCAGACCGACGGGCAGGAGCCGGGCACCUGGAGGUAUGCAAUGGUGGUCAGCUGCCGACAGACCUCAGAGCUGCAUCCCCAGAGGGAUGGGACCUGCAGAGACCCCAGAGGCCAAAGGACCUCAGGAGAGUGGAGGAGUACAGGAUCCAGAGAGUCCCAGAGACAGGAGGGCCCAGCCUGAGCACCACCAGCCAACCCCCAGGCACACGGUGCAUACCCACCGGGGCACCAAAGAGUCGGUUUUCUGCAAUGUGGUGGGGUCCAGCUCAAAGAGAGAGGCGAUGUCGUUGCCAUGAGGCACGGCCACCAGGCGGUACUUGAUCUUCUCCCCAGCAUUCCUGCGGCCUGCACGACCCUGGGCCCCCUGGGUGAGGACCUCAGAUCAGGUGGUCCCGGAACUGCAUAAAGAGGUUGAUCUUCCAGCUGGUGUUGCAGUUCACAGAGUUGACCUGGGAAAGGGGGACAGACCCAUCAUGCCAGGCAGGCCCCAGCCACUGAGGGCCCAGAGAGGAGCUGAAGGGAAGGACCAGCCUAGCCACCUUUACAGCACAAGGACAGCUUCCAGAAGGGCUGGAUGAAGAGCCAGGAGCCCUCGUUGCCCAUGGCAUCCAGGGUCACCCGCAUGGCGUUCUUCUCCAGCAAGGCCGGAAGCCGCUUGUUCACCGUCAGCUGGUGAACCAGUCCCAGGGAGCAAAGAAAAACUGGAUAUUCCACCCAGCUUAUAAGGAGGCAAAGGCCCCAUGGGACCAUCAGGAGUAGAAACUGAGUGAACCAAAGAUCAAGGAAGACAGAAUUUCCUAGAAAGGAAGGGAAAAAAUGGCAAUUCCACAAGCAGAUGGAGCCACCAAGGGUCGCCCCAACUAGCGCUGCUCAGCCCUGCCAGCAUGAGUGGACAUCACUUCUGAAAGAGCACCCAGUUUGUUGGAGAGGGUGUCUUUUUUUUUUUAGACACAGUCUCACUCUGUAGCCCAGACUGAAGUGCAGUGGUGCAAUCUCAGCUCACUGCAACCUCCAGCUCCCAGGUUCAAGCAAUUCUCCUGCCUCAGCCUCCUGAGUAGCUGGGAUUACAGGCAUGCACACCGAGCCUGGCGAAUUUUUGUAUUUUUAGUAGAGACAUGGUUUCACCAUAUUUCCCAGGCUGGUCUCAAACUCUUGGCCUCAAAUGAUCUGUCCAACUUGGCCUCCAAAAGUGCUGGGAUUACAGGUAUGAGCCACCGCACUGGGCUGAGAGUGUGUCUUUAUGGGCUCGGCUCAGCCCUCAGGAGGCAGCUGGGUCUCCUGCUUCUUCCAAGGGUUGAACCUUGGGUUGGCACUCCCGGUUCCCGAUUUCAUUUUGAGAAUCUCACUGCCUUGUUAGAGGCAGACGGUUCCCAACAGAGUGGUGGGAAAUGGGGCCACACCAGGGAAUGUUCCAGAAAUUCAGUGGGCAGGGAGUGAUUUGGGUUGUACCUCUGAUUGUCACAGUGGCACUAAGUGAGCAGAACAGGGAUGCUGGAUGCCUGCACCAUGGAGAUUGUCCUGGGUGAUGCCUGAUUGCAAAUGUCUUGCCCACACACGUAGGUGAACAUCUGUGGGUAGUGUUCUGGGCCUAGAGUUAUACACAGAGGAACAAAUUUUUUUUGCAUGCAUUUUAGCAAACACUGAAUUUUCCAGGAAUGCAGCUCCACUAUAAACCAAGGGAAAGCUGUCCUUUGUGUUGUCCAAAUUUUCCCAGGAGUUUUCUGCUAUUUCAGAAAAUACAUCACUCAUGGCCACACCAAAUGGGUGCAUGUGUGGCUGCCACAUUCAUGAUUUAAAGGCAAGUGGUCUGGGCGCAGUGGCUCACGCCUGUAACUCUAACACUAUGAGAAGCUGAGGAGGGAGGAUCACUUGAGGCCAGGAGUUCGAGACUGGCCUAGGCAACAUGGUGAAAUCUCGUCUGUACAAAAAAAAUUUUUUUUAAUAAAAAAUUAUCAGCCAGGUGCAGUGGCUCACUCCUGUAAUCCCAGCACUUUGGGAAGCCAAGGCAGGCAAAUCACGAUGUCAAAAGAUCGAGACCAUCCAGGCCAACAUGGUGAAACCCCAUCUCUACUAAAAACUACAAAAAAUUAGCUGGGCAUGGUAGCGCAUGCCUGUAGUUCCAGCUACUCGGGAGGCUGAUGCAGGAGAAUUGCUUGAACCCUGGAGGCGGAGGUUGCAGUUAGCCGAGAUUGAGCUAUUGCACUCCAGCCUGUCGCCUGGUGACAGAGUGAGACUCUGUCUCAAAAAAAAAAAUUAUCAACAGGCAGCAAGUGAUGGAAAAACUAAAAAUAAUUUAUAAAAAAUAAAAAAUUAGCUGGGCAUGGUGGCUCAUGCCUGUAACCCCAGUACUUUGGGGGGCCAGGCAGGUGGAUCACUUGACGUCAGGAGUUUGAGGCCAGCCUGGCCAACAUGGUGAAACCCCAUCUCUAAAAAAAAAAGUGCAACUUGGCCAGGCAUGGUGGUGUGUACCUGUAAUCCCAGUUGCUCAAGAGAUUGAGACAGGAGGAUCGUUUGAGCCGGGAGCUCAAGACCAGCCUUGGCAAUAUAGUGAGACCUUGUCUCAACUAAAAUUCGAAAAAGUUAGUGUGACCUAGUGGUAUAUGACUGUAAUCCCAGUUACUUGGAGGACUGAGGCAGAAGAAUCGCUUGAGCCCGGGAAGUCAAGGCUGCAGUGAGCCCUAAUCUAGCCACUG